CGCCAUCUCAGACAACCACGGCACCAGGAAAGUUCGCCGCCGAGAAAAGCGCAAAGAGAGAGAGAGAGGGAGAGGGAGGUCCGCCACGGUGGAAGCGUGAGUUCAGCCGCCGCUGAGGCCUACAAGCUUGACUGGGGUGCUCGUCAUGCCCUCGGGGUCGUGCUCAAGGCUGCGAUUGAGCGAGGGAGGCUUCAACCACGCCUUAAUUGCUCAACACUGUUCACCGUCGCCGCAAAGCCGCCCUUCAACGUGGGCAACUCUCUUGGUGUCGUAUCCAACACUGCAGCGAGGUCACGAGAAACCUAAAGACCAAUUUGGUGAAGUGCUUGGAAACGCGAGUCACAGGUCAAGAACAAGUACCGUCAAGAUGAGGAGAAUGAAGGAUGUCGCGAUGAGUUCGUGAGAGGUCUAGGUCGUCGUCUUCCAGUCAACUAUGGUUGCAGGAUCGUCGUCUUCGUAUGAUGUAAUUAUAUAGCUAUUUUGUACAGAACUCUUAUUAUAUAGUAACAAGGUGACAUUCGUUUUUGUAC
rnacentral:misc_RNA from 1 species